UAAAACCAGCACCUCAAGUGGUCAGGAUGAUCAUUGGGCCUAAAGCAUCCGUAGCCGGCUCUGUAAGUUUUCGGUUAAAUCUGUACGCUCAACGUACAGGCUGCCGGGAAUACUGCAUAGCUAGGGAGUGGGAGAAGUAGACGGUACUCGGUAGGAAGUGGUAAAAUGCUUUGAUCUAUCGAUGACCACCUGUGGCGAAGGCGGUCUACUAGAACACGUCCGACGGUGAGGGAUGAAAGCUGGGGGAGCAAACCGGAUUAGAUACCCGGGUAGUCCCAGCUGUAAACUAUGCAAACUCAGUGAUGCAUUGGCUCGUGGCCAAUGCAGUGCUGCAGGGAAGCCGUUAAGUUUGCCGCCUGGGAAGUACGUACGCAAGUAUG
rnacentral:rRNA from 1 species